CAGAAGUUCAACUUCAGCUUGGUGAACGUUUCAUUGUUGAAGAAAUGACGAGGCAUCGCAUAGGGAACAUCUCGUCCAAGAGUAUAGAAGAAGGGUGUGGUGUACAGAAGUUAUGAAAUCCUUUAGCGUCUUCUGUUCUGAUGGUAGAUGGAAUUUCAGAGUAGACACAGAGGUCCAUAACCGGUCCCACCUUCUUGAGAGGGUGCUUGUCUUGAUGGCAUCUCUGGCUUUUCAACAUACAAUGAUGGCUAAGGCAGAGAGAAUCAGGGAACAACCUUGUGAACAAAUAACGAGGUUUUCACUUUUCCCUCAU